AUUCUACUCCCUCCGUUGCACAAUACAUGCCUUCUAUUUGUCAAAAUAUAUAUGUAUCUAGACAUGUCUUAGUAUAUAGGUACAUCCAUUUUUGGACAAAUGGAAGUCAAGUAUUUUGAAACGGAGGGAGUACACA
rnacentral:pre_miRNA from 1 species